AUAGUGUUCUAUGCGGCCUGUUUUCCGUACAUCAUUAAGGUUGAAGCACGGUGGGUUGUAUCAAUGAUUGAUGGAUGUUAAGCUGAGAUAGGUGUAAAACAUAUGCUGUAUAGUUAUUCCGCAGAUUGAAAGAAAACAAUCAUUUCCAUGGAGGAGUUGGAUCCAGUUACCCUGACUUGGAAAGAUGUCCAUGUUUAUUCAACUCAAAAGAAGGGAUGUUCUCACAGACGGAGCGCUAAGUUAUCGAAACAUAUAUUGAAGAACGUCAGCGGAAUGAUUAAACCUGGAAAGCUUACAGCAUUUAUGGGAGCUAGCGGAGCGGGAAAAUCCACCUUGAUGAAUGUUUUAACGUUCAGAAAUAGAGGAAAGCUCAAAAUUGACGGUGAUAUUCGAGUUAACGGAGUCCCGGUGGAUAAAUCUAAGAUAUCCAAUAUAUCUUCCUAUGUCCAACAGGAUGAUUUGUUUGUUGGCACCAUGACCGUCAGAGAACAACUUACAUUUCGGGCAAUGCUACGAAUGGACAAAAGAAAACACACACAGGAAAGACUACAGAAAGUGGACGAGGUUCUUCAUGAGCUAGGUCUACAGAAAUGUGCUGACACGGUUAUCGGUGUUCCAGGAAGAAUCAAAGGAAUCUCUGGUGGAGAAAUGAAAAGGCUGUCCUUUGCUUCAGAGCUUUUGACCAACCCCCCUUUAAUGUUUUGCGACGAGGCCACUUCCGGUUUAGACUCGUUUAUGGCUCACAGCGUCAUUCAGUCUUUAAAAACACUGGUCUCAGAGGGGCGGACCAUUCUCUGCACUAUUCACCAACCAUCAUCUGAUGUCUUUGAGCUUUUUGACGAAGUGUUCCUGUUAGCAGAAGGUCGAGUGGCAUUCUCAGGACCCGUCAGUGAUGCUCUUGAAUUCUUCAAAAGCAAUGGUCAUCCUUGCCCAAACAAUUACAAUCCGGCGGACCACUUUGUCAUUACUCUGGCUAUUGAACCUGGGCAAGAGACACAUUGCAGAGAAAGGGUUAAAAAUAUAUGUGACAAUUUUGAGGCUUCCGAAGCAAAUAAAGAAAUCAUGGAGAAAACCAAAGAGAUGUCAAGUCACCCCGAAGAACAUUUACAACAAGUGAUGGACAGCCUUAAAGAAAGUUCAAGGUAUGAGGCAUCAAUCUUACAACAAGUGAAGUGUGUAUUUUGGAGAAGCUGGAUAACAAAUAUACGAGAUCCUAUGGUGGUUCGAAUCAAGUUCAUUCAAACCGUUUUCUUUGCCUUGAUUCUUGGGCUGGUAUACCUCAAAACAAACGAUGAUUAUGAACAAAAGGACAUUAUGAACAUCAAUGGAGUCAUCUUCAUUAUAAUCACCAAUCUCAGCUUCUAUCAUGUGUUCUCCGUACUUAAUGUGUUCCCCUUGGAGGUUCCGGUCUUUAUGCGAGAGUAUGGGACGGGACUAUACAGCGCAGGGGUCUACUACUUAAAUUCCCUUUCUUAUCAUCAUACCUAUCAUAUACAUGUCCAUAUUGUACUGGAUGAGUGGAUUAAUUCAAGACGGAGAAGCGUUCAUCACCGCCACAGGAGUAUCCAUACUAAUUUCUACCGCAGCAGCUUCAUUCGGUUACGUGAUAUCGACUGCCGCCCCCUCAACAACAGCAGCCUUGGCUAUUGCUCCAGCUCUAAUGAUUCCUUUUCUGUUGUUUGGUGGAUUUUUUCUAAACAGUGGAUCCACACCCGACUACCUAAUAUGGCUGAAAUACAUUUCUUGGUUUUACUAUGGCAACGAAAUGUUGGUGGUCAACCAGUGGGAGGAUGUUGAUAACAUAAGAUGCAGCUCAGGUCCUUCAUGUGUUCCAAAUGGAGAACUAGUAAUUUCAACUUUGAAUUUUAAUCGGGACAAUUUUCAUUUAGAUCUAGGACUGCUUUUCGUUCUAAUCGCAGCAUUCCGAUUAAUUGCUUUCCUGAUUCUUUUGAUUCGAGCAAAACGGUCGUCUUUGUAAUAAAAUACUCAUCUGUGAUUUAAAUUCGCUGUGCAAUAAAAACAUUUUUAGCUGUC
rnacentral:misc_RNA from 1 species